AGAGUUUGAUCCUGGCUCAGGACGAACGCUGGCGGCGUGCUUAACACAUGCAAGUCGAGCGAGGCUCCACCUUCGGGUGGUGUCCUAGCGGCGAACGGGUGAGUAACACGUGGGCAACCUGCCCCCAUCUCUGGGAUGACCCCGGGAAACCGGAGCUAAUACCGGAUACGAGACCGAGUGGCAUCACUUGGUUUGGAAAGAACUUCGGAUGGGGAUGGGCCCGCGGCCUAUCAGCUAGUUGGUGAGGUAACGGCCCACCAAGGCGACGACGGGUAGCCGGCCUGAGAGGGCGACCGGCCACACUGGGACUGAGACACGGCCCAGACUCCUACGGGAGGCAGCAGUGGGGAAUUUUCCGCAAUGGGCGAAAGCCUGACGGAGCAAGACCGCGUGAGGGAGGAAGGCUCUUGGGUUGUAAACCUCUUUUCUUGGGGAAGAAAAAAAUGACGGUACCCAAGGAAUCAGCAUCGGCUAACUCCGUGCCAGCAGCCGCGGUAAUACGGAGGAUGCAAGCGUUAUCCGGAAUUAUUGGGCGUAAAGCGUCCGCAGGUGGCACUUCAAGUCUGCUGUCAAAGGUCGGGGCUUAACCCCGGGAAGGCAGUGGAAACUGAAGCGCUAGAGUGUCGUAGGGGUAGAGGGAAUUCCCGGUGUAGCGGUGAAAUGCGUAGAGAUCGGGAAGAACAUCGGUGGCGAAAGCGCUCUACUGGACGACAACUGACACUCAGGGACGAAAGCGUGGGGAGCAAACAGGAUUAGAUACCCUUGUAGUCC
rnacentral:rRNA from 1 species